rnacentral:tRNA from 1 species
GCUUCUGUAGUGUAAUGGUAGCACACUCGGCGAGUAUUCGAGAGGUCCAGGGUUCGAGUCCCGGCGAGGGCA